rnacentral:rRNA from 1 species
CUAAGGAUUAAUUUUAAAAUUAAGCAUAUUUGGCGGCUGUUGUUAAUUAAAGGGAUUUGCUAAAAUCGAUUUGCCUCGUUUUAUUUAACUUAUUCAAUUUUUGUAUACCGUCAUUUAGAUAAUUUUUAUAAAAUAAAUUAUGGUUAAUAUUUUAUACACAUUAGAUCAAGGUGCAGAAAUGAAUAAGGAGUAGUUAAUGACAAUAAAUACUAUUAUACUAAGUAAUGAUAAUUUAUUUAAAAAGGUGGAUUUAAAUGUAAUUGAAAUUAAUUGGUUAAAACUUGUAGUGUACAAAUUGCCCGUCAUUCUC